GCGAGCGUGGCGGAAUUGGCAGACGCGCUGGAUUUAGGAUCCAGUGGACACAGUCCGUGUGGGUUCGAGUCCCUCCGCUCGCA
rnacentral:tRNA from 1 species